AGUGCUCACUACAAGUUUCCCUUCAAAAAUAUCACUAAAAGAGGAUCCAAAAAUUUAAACAGCAGUACAAAAAGGACGCUAAGAACUGUAUUUCCCUAUUUAUUUUUUUGCCAUUUUACAAAUAGUAAUGUAGGUUUCUGGUAAAGUAAAUUGUUAUCUUUGAGUUGAAAUUAAAAAAAAAAAAAAACUUAAUCGAAUGAUGCGAUUAAUAUCUACAUGAAAAAUGCUCAUUGUAACGGAUUGGUUGGAGUAAGUCAAAGAAAAUAUUUUUAUAGAGAGUUGCAGAGAAGAAGAUUAAGAUAAAGGGCAGGCGACAUCCAUCAAGCUAGAUUCUUCAACUGGCCCUCACAUUUCCCACAAUUGCGUCCACAUACACACAGUUACGUUCUUUCCAGACACUCCCUCUGCAUGAUCAGAUUGAGAAAUAUGAGAGGUGGAAAGGGUCAUGAAAUGUUUUGUUGCAACAUAAGUGACGCUUAAAAGAAGAGUCGGAAUCACUUGGACAGUAUUUGAGUCUGGUCUAAAUAGAGUCUUUUCUUGUAUUCUUUUGGCUGGGAGGGCACAGUCCGAUGAAAGAGGUCUUUUGGGUAUGGCCAGUACAUUUAUGGGCGUGGGUUGCAUUUUAUGAAAGAGGUAUGAGCAUAAAUUCAAGGCCAUUAAGAGCUUGAAGCAACAUGUUACAAAAUUAAGCUAAAAUGAAGUUUGAAGUUGCUUGAGUGUUCCCAAGCUUUUUACUUAAGUAUUGCACAUAAUCCAUUAACAUUCGGAUGGAGGUACAAAAAGACAAGGGGAAUUAAGAAUGUGAGAGCAUUUUCCGGGGGAAGGUGAUGCAACCGAUCAGAAGGGACAGAUAAGGAUAAGAGUCAUAACAUCCUUAUCACUUGGGGUCCACAAGAUCGCCCUGUAAGAUAUGGAUGCAUCUUCAGGCGAAUGAGUCUUUAAUUCCGGCCAAUUCUUUUGGGCUGGGCCUUCCAGAGCCCAACUUUCUCCUAUAAAUGCUACAUGGCCGCAAACCAAAUGCAUACAUUCAGUGGCCAUAUAUUUAUGCUCUGUUUUAAUUUUGAGAAUUUGUGAGGAGAAAACAAGUCCCUUAUGGGCAAAAACUUUUAAUUUUUAUUCAUGUUUUUCAUGACACUUUUUUCCAUUGUAGUUUGCUAGAUAUUUUUGUGUGCUCUUUAUUUAAGUAUGCUUUUCUUUA